rnacentral:rRNA from 1 species
CCUGCACCUGCCGGCGACCGGCGCACGGGUGAGUAACACGUAUGGAACCUGCCCGCCACAGGGGGAUAACCCGGGGAAACCCGGCCUAAUACCCCAUGCCGCCCGGACCGGGCAUCCGGUCCGGGCGAAAGGAGGAAUCCGGUGGCGGCUGGGCAUGCGGCGCAUUAGCUUGACGGCGGGGUAACGGCUCACCGUGGCGACGAUGCGUAGGGGCUCUGAGAGGAAGGUCCCCCACACUGGUACUGAGACACGGACCAGACUCCUACGGAAGGCAGCAG